rnacentral:rRNA from 1 species
GAUGAACGCUGGCGGCGUGCUUAACACAUGCAAGUCGAACGAUGAAGCCCAGCUUGCUGGGUGGAUUAGUGGCGAACGGGUGAGUAACACGUGAGUAACCUGCCCUUGACUCUGGGAUAAGCCUGGGAAACUGGGUCUAAUACUGGAUAUGACUUCUCAUCGCAUGGUGGGGGGUGGAAAGAUUUAUUGGUCUUGGAUGGACUCGCGGCCUAUCAGCUUGUUGGUGAGGUAAUGGCUCACCAAGGCGACGACGGGUAGCCGGCCUGAGAGGGUGACCGGCCACACUGGGACUGAGACACGGCCCAGACUCCUACGGGAGGCAGCAGUGGGGAAUAUUGCACAAUGGGCGCAAGCCUGAUGCAGCGACGCCGCGUGAGGGAUGACGGCCUUCGGGUUGUAAACCUCUUCCAGUAGGGAAGAAGCGAGAGUGACGGUACCUGCAGAAGAAGCGCCGGCUAACUACGUG